UAAUAGGGUAUAUUAAAGUUGUUGCAGUUAAAAAGCUCGUAGUUGAAUGUUGGUGUCGAACGAGCGGUCAGCUUCGGCUGUACUGCUCUCUCGACUCCUUCCUUCUGUGGACUACGUCGCACUUUACUGUGUGGCGCUAGGACGCAGAUCGUUUACUGUGAAAAAAUUAGAGUGUUCAAAGCAGGCCGUACGCUUGAAUACAUUAGCAUGGAAUAAUGGAAUAGGACGUCGGGCCUAUUUUGUUGGUUCUAGGACCGUCGUAAUGAUUAAUAGGGACAGUUGGGGCCGUUUAUAUUCCGUAGUCAGAGGUGAAAUUCUUGGAUUUACGGAAGAUAAACUACUGCGAAAGCAUUCGGCAAGGAUGUUUUCGUUAA
rnacentral:rRNA from 1 species